GGGUGAGAUACUGUUUUGACCAUUUUUUCAAAGUGUUGUCUAUAUUAUCUAAAACUGGCCUAUAAUUUAAAUUAAUCAUUCUAUCUAGGUCGACUGAAAACGUAAUUCCAAGCAGCUUAAAUGUACUGGAGCCCCAUUUCAAUCCCCACUUUACACAAAUUUGAUCCUGGCUAUGUUUUUUGCUACCUAUCCAAAUAACACUUGUUUUUUCUAUAUAUUAAUCUUAAGUCCCGAGAUUUCAGCAUACAAUUGGAGAACACGAAGAGAUGCAUCGAGCGAUUCUGGCGAGCCAUCUAAUAUCAAUGAUGUAUCAUCUGCAUAUUGAGAAAGUACAAAUUCUGUAUCAUCUAUAGUAAUACCCUUUAUCUCCUUACUAUUUCUUACCAAAAUGCCUAAUAUUUCUGCACAUAGCAAGAAAAUAUAAGGGGAUAAAGGAUCUCCCUGUCUACAGCCUCUCUCUAUAGUGACUAUAGUGAAGAAUUCUGACAGACAACAGUUUUGUGUCACCGCAGCUGUUAUAUUGUUAUAGAAGGUUUUAACCCAGGAUAUAACGGAUUCACCAAAAUUAAAAUAUCUUAAUGUAUCAUAAAGAAAUGACCAAGAUAUGGAAUCGAAUGCCUUCUCAAAAUCAAUCAGCAAGAGAAUU
rnacentral:lncRNA from 1 species